UACGUAGAGACCAAGCGUUGUUCGGAUUUACUGGGCGUAAAGGGCGCGUAGGCGGCGUGGUAAGUCACUUGUGAAAUCUCUGAGCUUAACUCAGAACGGCCAAGUGAUACUGUCGUGCUAGAGUGCGGAAGGGGCUACUGGAAUUCUCGGUGUAGCGGUGAAAUGCGUAGAUAUCGAGAGGAACACCUGCGGCGAAGGCGGGUAGCUGGGCCGACACUGACGCUGAGGCGCGAAAGCCAGGGGAGCGAACGGG
rnacentral:rRNA from 1 species